UACGUAGGGGGCAAGCGUUGUCCGGAAUCAUUGGGCGUAAAGAGCGUGUAGGCGGCUCGAUAAGUCCGCUGUGAAAGUCCAGGGCUCAACCCUGGAAGGCCGGUGGAAACUGUCGGGCUAGAGUCCGGAAGAGGCGAGUGGAAUUCCUGGUGUAGCGGUGAAAUGCGCAGAUAUCGGGAGGAACACCAGUAGCGAAGGCGACACUCUGGGCCGAAACUGACGCUGAGGAGCGAAAGCGUGGGUAGCAAACAGG
rnacentral:rRNA from 1 species